rnacentral:rRNA from 1 species
CCUACGGGAGUCAGCAGUGAGGAAUAUUGGUCAAUGGACGAGAGUCUGAACCAGCCAAGUAGCGUGAAGGAUGACUGCCCUAUGGGUUGUAAACUUCUUUUAUAUGGGAAUAAAACGUUCCACGUGUGGGAUUUUGUAUGUACCAUAUGAAUAAGGAUCGGCUAACUCCGUGCCAGCAGCCGCGGUAAUACGGAGGAUCCGAGCGUUAUCCGGAUUUAUUGGGUUUAAAGGGAGCGUAGGUGGAUUGUUAAGUCAGUUGUGAAAGUUUGCGGCUCAACCGUAAAAUUGCAGUUGAAACUGGCAGUCUUGAGUACAGUAGAGGUGGGCGGAAGUCGUGGUGUAGCGGUGAAAUGCUUAGAUAUCACGAAGAACUCCGAUUGCGAAGGCAGUUCACUGGACUGCAACUGACACUGAGGCUCGAAAGUGUGGGUAUCAAACAGGAUUAGAUACCCGGGUAGUC